rnacentral:rRNA from 1 species
GAUGAACGCUGGCGGCGUGCCUAAUACAUGCAAGUCGAACGAGGUGCUUUUGUAGCAAUACGAGAGUAUCCUAGUGGCGAACGGGUGAGUAACGCGUGGAUGACCUGCCCCAAAGUGUGGGAUAACAGUCCGAAAGGAUUGCUAAUACCUCAUGUGGUUAUCGGUUUUAGAAAGCGAUAACUAAAGCAGCAAUGCGCUUUGGGAGGGAUCUGCGUCCCAUCAGCUAGUUGGUGAGGUAACGGCUCACCAAGGCGACGACGGGUAGGGGACCUGAGAGGGUGGCCCCCCCACAAUGGAACUGAAACACGGUCCAUACACCUACGGGUGGCAGCAGUAGGGAAUAUUGCUCAAUGGGCGAAAGCCUGAAGCAGCAACGCCGCGUGUGCGAUGAAGGCCU